UUAAUUUAAAAAAAAUUUAAAAAAAUGAAAGUAACUUAUUGGUAAAGAAGUUGUCCACGUACACCAACUUCUUCAUUCUUUUGGAAAUAGCCAUUUCCCCACAUUACUAACCAACACACAUCAUUAUUCCUUAUUAUUUUUUAGAGAUUAAAAGAAAAAAAAUGGAGUGUAUGAACCACUCUCUCUGCAUGGAAUCAAACAAGAAUAUAGUUACAUGGAAACUAC
rnacentral:lncRNA from 1 species